UAGGGAAUCUUCCACAAUGGACGCAAGUCUGAUGGAGCAACGCCGCGUGAGUGAAGAAGGUUUUCGGAUCGUAAAGCUCUGUUGUUGGUGAAGAUGGAUAGAGGCAGUAACUGGUCUUUAUUUGACGGUAAUCAACCAGAAAGUCACGGCUAACUACGUGCCAGCAGCCGCGGUAAUACGUAGGUGGCAAGCGUUGUCCGGAUUUAUUGGGCGUAAAGCGAGCGCAGGCGGAAUGAUAAGUCUGAUGUGAAAGCCCACGGCUCAACCGUGGAACUGCAUCGGAAACUGUCAUUCUUGAGUGCAGAAGAGGAGAGUGGAAUUCCAUGUGUAGCGGUGGAAUGCGUAGAUAUAUGGAAGAACACCAGUGGCGAAGGCGGCUCUCUGGUCUGCAACUGACGCUGAGGCUCGAAAGCAUGGGUAGCGAACAGG
rnacentral:rRNA from 1 species